UCCGAGUUGACCCCGGCAGUCUCCUGCGAGUCCCCGCCAUUACGCGCUGGCAACACAGGACAAGGGUUGCGCUCGUUGCGGGACUUAACCCAACAUCUCACGACACGAGCUGACGACAACCAUGCACCACCUGUACACCGACCUUACGGAAACCACAUCUCUGCAGCGAUCCGGUGCAUGUCAAGCCUUGGUAAGGUUCUUCGCGUUGCAUCGAAUUAAUCCGCAUGCUCCGCCGCUUGUGCGGGCCCCCGUCAAUUCCUUUGAGUUUUAGCCUUGCGGCCGUACUCCCCAGGCGGGGCACUUAAUGCGUUAGCUACGGCACAGAACAGGUGGAACCUGCCCCACACCUAGUGCCCAACGUUUACGGCAUGGACUAC
rnacentral:misc_RNA from 1 species